rnacentral:rRNA from 2 species
UGGGGAAUAUUGCGCAAUGGGGGAAACCCUGACGCAGCAACGCCGCGUGAUUGAAGAAGGUCUUCGGAUUGUAAAAAUCUUUUAUCAAGGACGAAGAAGUGACGGUACUUGAUGAAUAAGCUCCGGCUAACUACGUGCCAGCAGCCGCGGUAAUACGUAGGGAGCAAGCGUUAUCCGGAUUUACUGGGUGUAAAGGGCGAGUAGGCGGAUUGGCAAGUUGGGAGUGAAAUGUCGGGGCUUAACCCCGGAACUGCUUCCAAAACUGUUGAUCUUGAGUGAUGGAGAGGCAGGCGGAAUUCCCAGUGUAGCGGUGAAAUGCGUAGAUAUUGGGAGGAACACCAGUGGCGAAGGCGGCCUGCUGGACAUUAACUGACGCUGAGGAGCGAAAGCGUGGGGAGCAAACAGG